rnacentral:lncRNA from 1 species
GCAUACCCCCACAAUCGAAGCCGGCUUUGAUGCAGUCUCGUUCACUGGAACAUGGAACAUCUUUUGCUUCAACUGCUAGGGACUUCCCUGGUAAUCAAAACUAACGUUAUGAUGAUUAGAUCGAUACCAACAAAACCAUAAUUAAGUAAUAUGGAUAAAGAUACGAGGAAGACUAACCAAACGCAACAAUUGAGAAGAGGAUCAAGAAAAUGAUCUUAAGAGAAAUUUUCUCCGUAAACUACUUGUUGAUUGUAUUGUAGAAGUACUUAUGCACCUAGAAACAUUAGUUGACUUGAGCUUAUGAUCUCCACUGUGUUUAUAUUUGACCUCCUUUUUGUAGUUUGAAUGAGGGGGGAUUUUGCAAUCAAUUGCAUAUCUGCCUUUCUUUAAUGACUAAUAAAUGCCGAAACCAGAAUUUAUUUAUAUUCAAUUUAUUUUAGGAUUUUAUCUUUAUUACAAAAGUUAAAAACACCAACUCCCAAGGUUUAGUCAAAUGUACAUACAGAUGCUUUUGGUUAGUAUUUCUUUUUUUAUAAUAGUUUAUCUUUAGAUGGCAUCCAGUUGGAGCGAUUUUCAAAAUGUAUAGAUAUGUGCACUUGAAAAUUGUUCUCGUAUAAAAUAUGGAGAUUGAUAGACAAAUGGAUUGAUGAAAAAUAGUAAAGAGCGGAUUUUAGAUGAACAAGAUAUGAUAUUGACCACGAUAUAGGAUGGUACCUUGACAGUGGAGUAACUCAUCAUCUCAGUAAUUCAGUGCAGAAUCUAAAUGAUGGUAAACUCUAUUCUGGCUUUAAUUCCUUACUUGUAGGAAAUGGUUAGGGCUUACAAAUUACACACAUUAGCUAUACCUGCUUUUACACUUAUUGUGGUUCAUAUCUUCAUCUUCAAGACAUAAUAUGUAUUCCUAAAAUCACCAAAAACUUAAUAAGUGUUUUCAAACUUCUUACUGAUAAUAACAUCAUUAUUGAAUUCAUUUCUAAUGCUUGUUUUGUUAAGGACAAGGUGAAGGGAACACUACUUGCUCAGGGGAUUGCUAAAAGUGGCUUAUACAAGCUAUUGUCAUGUGAAGAUUCUGUUCUAUCCUCCAAUAUUUCAACUCUCAGUCCAAGUUCCAUGAUGUUAGUCUUACCUUCUAGUACUAG